UACGAAGGGGCUAGCAUUGCUCGGAAUGACUGGGCGUAAAGGGCGCGUAGGCGGCUCAUACAGUCAGAUGUGAAAUUCCUGGGCUUAACCUGGGGCUGCAUUUGAUACGUGUGGGCUUGAGUGGGGAAGAGGGUCGUGGAAUUCCCAGUGUAGAGGUGAAAUUCGUAGAUAUUGGGAAAGAACACCGGUGGCGAAGGCGGCGACCUGGUCCUUGACUGACGCUGAGGCGCGAAAGCGUGGGAGC
rnacentral:rRNA from 1 species